rnacentral:rRNA from 1 species
UGACCUGGCGGCAGCCUACACAUGCNAGUCGGGCGGUAGUACAGAGAGCUUGCUCUUGGGUGACGAGUGGCGGACGGGUGAGUAAUGUCUGGGGAUCUGCCCGAUAGAGGGGGAUAACCACUGGAAACGGUGGCUAAUACCGCAUAACGUCGCAAGACCAAAGAGGGGGACCUUCGGGCCUCUCACCAUCGGAUGAACCCAGAUGGGAUUAGCUAGUAGGCGGGGUAAUGGCCCACCUAGGCGACGAUCCCUAGCUGGUCUGAGAGGAUGACCAGCCACACUGGAACUGAGACACGGUCCAGACUCCUACGGGAGGCAGCAGUGGGGAAUAUUGCACAAUGGGCGCAAGCCUGAUGCAGCCAUGCCGCGUGUAUGAAGAAGGCCUUCGGGUUGUAAAGUACUUUCAGCGGGGAGGAAGGCGAUGCGGUUAAUAACCGCGUCGAUUGACGUUACCCGCAGAAGAAGCACCGGCUAACUCCGUGCCAGCAGCCGCGGUAAU